rnacentral:rRNA from 1 species
AUUGAACGCUGGCGGCAGGCCUAACACAUGCAAGUCGAGCGGAUGAAGGGAGCUUGCUCCUGGAUUCAGCGGCGGACGGGUGAGUAAUGCCUAGGAAUCUGCCUGGUAGUGGGGGAUAACGUCCGGAAACGGGCGCUAAUACCGCAUACGUCCUGAGGGAGAAAGUGGGGGAUCUUCGGACCUCACGCUAUCAGAUGAGCCUAGGUCGGAUUAGCUAGUUGGUGGGGUAAAGGCCUACCAAGGGGACGAUCCGUAACUGGUCUGAGGGGAUGAACAGUCACAGUGGAAGUGACAAACGGCACAGGCUCCGAGGGGGGGCCGAGGCGGGGAAUAUUGGCAACAGGGGGGAAUACUGAACAAGCGGCGCAAGGGUGGUGAAGCAGCGCUGCGUGUUGGAAAACAUUUUAAGGGGGGGGGAAGGGCAGUACGUGUAACCCUGGGUGUUUUGGCGUAACCAACAAAAAAGGAACCGGUAACUUCGGG